GAUCCUGCCAGUAGUCAUAUGCUUGUCUCAAAGAUUAAGCCAUGCAUGUCUAAGUCCAAGCUGUGUUUACACGGCGAGACCGCGGACGGCUCAUUAAAUCAGUCGUGGUCCAAAUGGGAUAGUCCAAUGUACUUGGAUAACUGUGGUAAUUCCAGAGCUAAUACAUGCAACUGAAACCUUGAUGGAAGCCCUUCUCUUGGUCGCUUGUCGUCCGGGGGUUGGAUCCUUGCUGACAGGUGCUUUUAUUAGACCAAUCCGCUGGUGGCUGAGUUGUUCUGCUGAGACGCGUGCACGGAUCUCGGCACUCGGCUAUGUCGUGUUGUCGACCCGCGAGGCGUGUUCUCGGGAGCUCUCGGUCAGACUUGCUUUGUGGUGACUCUGGAUAACCAUUUUUGACAAGCGCACGUACCCCUCUCACGAGCGGGACGGCGCUGCCACUUUCGAGUGUCUGCCUUAUCAGCUGUCAAUCGCUCGCUACACGCGACCGAUGGCUUUGACGGGUAACGGGGAAUCAGGGUUCGAUUCCGGAGAGGCAGCCUGAGAGACGGCUACCACGUCCAAGGACGGCAGCAGGCACGCAAAUUACCCAAUCCCAGCACAUGGGGGAGGUAGUGACGAAAUCUAACGAUGCGGGCGCCCUUCCAGGGCCCCGCAAUCGGAAUGAGCACUUUCUAAACAACCUGUUGAGAACCUACUGAAGGGCAAGUCUGGUGCCAGCAGCCGCG
rnacentral:rRNA from 1 species